GUAACUAGAAAUUUUUCUUAUGAGGCCUAUAUCAACCAGUCUUUUGAACCUUAGAUAUAUAUACCUAUCGAGAUAAUUUGAGAAUCCCAGGAAAAUGGUGCAACUCAAGAUCGUAGCCUUAACCUUGCUGGUGUUCUAGUGGUCAUGGUGGAGCUUUGAGGGUGCAGUUGGAGACCCUCAACUCCUUUUACUCACAUCGGAGUGCAGCGGAUUCACGGUACCGAACUUGUCCAAUUUCUACCAAAAUCUAAACGCAAGUUUGGAAGACCUGAGAGCACAGGUGAGCAACCAAAGCCAACACUUCGCCAAAGCUCAAUCAACUAGCUGAACCCUGUCUACGCCGUGUUCCAAUGCAGGAACUACCUCUCCAACAAUGACUGCGCCACCUGCUUUGUCGCCAUUGCCACCAAAUCCGUGACUGCUCCACUGGAACCAACAACAGUGCCCGUCGUUUAUGGCGGCUGCUUCCUCAGAUUUGAAAACUCGAGGUGUCAAUAGCAAAACAUGGGCAAAUAACACAAAAAAGGAAGAAAACAGAAAAGGCUCAGCCCAGACUCACGCUUAGCGCACAACUCGCGCUAAGCGAGACAGGUGGCACAGGCGUUAAGCUCGAGGCUCGCGCUAAGCACGCAGCACAGCUGAGCAGCGUAACUAAAAACAAAACGCGCUAAGCGCACAGCCCGCGCUUAGCGCACGAUCCAACAGAAGCAGCACGCGCUAAGGGCACGAUCUGAACGCGCUAAGCGAGGGGCGCCGCGCUGAGCGACCCUGCGAAGGCCCAAAGCCCACUCCAGCAACUAUAAAUAGAGAGCUCAGCCAAGGGAAACGACACACCGAGUCUCAGAGUACUCCUAUCACUACCUUAAGCCUGAGAACUCCUCCUCUCUUCUCUCUCUAUCAUUUGUAUCCAUUCUUUCUUUCACCCCUCUCAUUAUAAAGUCCUCAUGGUCAUGAGUGGCUAAUCCCUUAGUUAGGGUCUAGCAGGCCUAAAAAGUCAAGCGAUGUAUGGUGUACUUUAGACUUAUCAAUGCAAAAGAAGUUCUUUCCAGGUUUUUCUA